GUGCUCACUUUGGGAGCACAUAAACCAAAAACUUGAAACGAUACAGAGAAGGUUAGCAUGGCCCUUGUGCAAGGGUGACAUGCAAAUUUGUAAAGUGUUCCAUUAAAAA
ensembl:snRNA U6 U6 spliceosomal RNA